AUUGAACGCUGGCGGCAUGCCUUACACAUGCAAGUCGAACGGCAGCACGGGAGCAAUCCUGGUGGCGAGUGGCGAACGGGUGAGUAAUAUAUCGGAACGUGCCCAGUCGUGGGGGAUAACGUAGCGAAAGCUACGCUAAUACCGCAUACGAUCUAUGGAUGAAAGCGGGGGAUCGCAAGACCUCGCGCGAUUGGAGCGGCCGAUAUCAGAUUAGGUAGUUGGUGGGAUAAAAGCUUACCAAGCCGACGAUCUGUAGCUGGUCUGAGAGGACGACCAGCCACACUGGGACUGAGACACGGACCAGACUCCUACGGGAGGCAGCAAUGGGGAAUUUUGGACAAUGGGCGAAAGCCUGAUCCAGCCAUGCCGCGUGCAGGAUGAAGGCCUUCGGGUUGUAAACUGCUUUUGUACGGAACGAAAAGACUCUUUCUAAUAAAGAGGGUCCAUGACAGUACCGUAAGAAUAAGCACCGGCUAACUACGUGCCAGCAGCCGCAGUAAGAC
rnacentral:rRNA from 1 species